CGGCGGCCACCGCUAUAGGAAUUCGAUUAAGACAUGCGAGUCGAGAGUCGUAAUGGACUCGGCGGACUGCUCAGUAACACGUGGAUAACGUGCCCUUAAGUGGAGGAUAAUUUCGGGAAAUUGAGGAUAAUACUCCAUAGACUACGAAAUCUGGAAUGAUUCAUAGUUGAAAGUUCCGGCGCUUAAGGAUCGGUCUGCGGCCUAUCAGGUUGUAGUGGGUGUAACGUACCUACUAGCCUAUGACGGGUAUGGGCCUUGAGAGAGGGAGCCCAGAGUUGGAUUUUGAGACACGAAUCCAGGCCCUACGGGGCGCAGCAGUCGCGAAAACUUCACAAUGGGGGCAACCCCGAUGAGGGAAUUCCUAGUGCUAGCACAAUUGUGUUAGCUUUUCUCUAGCGUAGAUAACUGGAGGAAU
rnacentral:rRNA from 1 species